GUUUACCCCUUGAGUGGUCACUUUAGAAUAUUAGGGAACUAAUUUAUAGCAUUAUUUUGUAUGUCCACGUAUUUAUAUAAUUCUUCCGAUGAAUCACUAUUUGUUUACUCUCACGUCGGUGCAACUUUCUUCACCAGUAAGUAAGUGGAAUGCAGUAGCACCUUGUUUCACAGGCUCAAAGAAGGGAAUGUACGAAAUGCCAAGCAUCUGAAAUAACUGGAGUGGCCAUUGUUUGAUUUUGGCAGGUGAGGAGGUGAAUCAUCGUGUAAAUAAGUAUGUGCAUGAAUGCAUCUUAAGCCUUCAAACUGUGUCCAUAUAAAAGACAGUAACGUUCAGUAGUUCAUCACAUGAAAGGUUUGCAACAUCUCAGGUGUGAAGUGGACAAAUUCAUAAAAACUGCAAUUGAUUGGAACAUCACGAGCACAGAGAGAGGGGAAUUUGCACAUUUUCCAUUCAUAUUCCAUCGACUUCUGUAUUACGAAGAAAAGGAAUGGAUGUCGGAUGGACUAUAUCAGUUCUCAUGCUUGUAAUAGGAGCUGGAGCAGUGACAACAGCUGCUGCACCUACAACUGCUCCAGCUGUGACAAACAAGACAAAAACUGCUGUAGUUAUACAUGCUGUACCAUUAUGUAAUGGACUUGCAACCACAGUUGCACCCACAACAGCAGCGCCUGCCACUGAAGCUCCCCGAAGAGUCGUUGUCCUCUCAGCUACUUUGCAACAAGCAUUCGUAAAACAACUCAAUGAUAAAAACAGCACGGAAUUCAGACAACUCGAGGCAACAGUUGUGACUGCG
ensembl:lncRNA